rnacentral:rRNA from 1 species
UUUCGGAGCUAACGCGUUAAGUAGACCGCCUGGGGAGUACGGUCGCAAGAUUAAAACUCAAAUGAAUUGACGGGGGCCCGCACAAGCGGUGGAGCAUGUGGUUUAAUUCGAUGCAACGCGAAGAACCUUACCUACUCUUGACAUCCAGAGAACUUAGCAGAGAUGCUUUGGUGCCUUCGGGAACUCUGAGACAGGUGCUGCAUGGCUGUCGUCAGCUCGUGUCGUG